rnacentral:rRNA from 1 species
CGGCGAACGGGUGAGUAACGCGUGGGUAACCUACCCUGUACACACGGAUAACAUACCGAAAGGCAUGCUAAUACGGGAUAAUAUAUUUGAGAGGCAUCUCUUAAAUAUCAAAGGUGAGCCAGUACAGGAUGGACCCGCGUCUGAUUAGCUAGUUGGUAAGGUAACGGCUUACCAAGGCGACGAUCAGUAGCCGACCUGAGAGGGUGAUCGGCCACAUUGGAACUGAGACACGGUCCAA